rnacentral:rRNA from 1 species
AGGACGAACGCUGGCGGCGUGCUUAACACAUGCAAGUCGAGCGGUAAGGCUCCUUCGGGAGUACACGGGCGGCGAACGGGUGAGUAACACGUGAGCAAUCUGCCCUUCUCUUCGGAAUAACCAUUGGAAACGAUGGCUAAUGCCGAAUACGACCUCCUUUCGCAUGAUCGGAGGUGGAAAGCUCCGGCGGAGAAGGAUGAGCUCGCGGCCUAUCAGCUAGUUGGCGGGGUAACGGCCCACCAAGGCGACGACGGGUA